rnacentral:lncRNA from 10 species
ACGGCAGCCAUCGCGCUUUGCAGUUCGGUCUCCUGGUGUACGGCCAACGCCAAGUAGGGGAUUGCGUUCCCUCCAGUCGCAGAGUUUCCCUCUUGUCGCCCAGGCUGGAGUGAAGUGGCACGAUCUCGGCUUACUGCAAGCUCCGCCUCCCGGGUUCACGCCAUUCUCCUGCCUCAGCCUCCCGAGUAGCUGGGACUACAGGUGCCCGCCACCACGCACCGCUAAUUUUUUUGUAUUUUUUAGUAGAGAUGGGGUUUCACCGUGUUAGCCAGGAUGGUCUCUUAUCUCCUGACCUCGUGAUCCGCCUGCCUCGGCCUCCCAAAGUGCUGGGAUUAUAGGCGUGAGCCACCGCAUCCGGUCUAACUUUUCUAUUUUUAGUAGAGAUGGGAUUUCUCUAUGUUGGCCAGUCUGGUCUCCAACUCCUGACCUCAGGUGAUCUGCUCGCCUCGGCCUCCCAAAGUGCUGGGAUUAAAGGCAUGAGCCACCUCAGUGGGCCACUGUACUGAUUUUUAAGGUGUUGAAGCUUUUCCAAGAAGAUUUGUUUUAAAACAGCUAAAACUUUGACAUUGUUAGCUGAAAGAACCAAAUUCGUCAGCAAUUUAAGGUGUUUGGUACAGUGGACAAAAUGAGGUGAAGAAGUCCUUUUAACUUGAAAAAUUAAACAUAGUAUUAUUUA